CCCCUCUGAGGGUUGCACCCGGUGAGUAUCCAGUACUCUACGGCUCGGCUACGGGAGGGAGAGUCAAGCAGAGACCUACCCAUUCCAUUCCUAGCUCGCGCAGUGGCUAGCGAGUGGAAGACAAUCUGCUACAAGG